GACGAACCGUGCGAACGUUGUUCGGAAUCACUGGGCUUAAAGGGCGCAUAGGCGGGCUGCCGCGUCCGGGGUGAAAUCCCACGGCUCAACCGUGGAACUGCCUCGGAUACGGGCGGUCUUGAGGGGGGUAGGGGCACGCGGAACUGUGGGUGGAGCGGUGAAAUGCGUUGAUAUCCACAGGAACUCCGGUGGCGAAGGCGGCGUGCUGGACCCCAUCUGACGCUGAGGCGCGAAAGCCAGGGGAGCAAACGGG
rnacentral:rRNA from 1 species